rnacentral:rRNA from 1 species
AGCGGCGGACGGGUGAGUAACGCGUGGGUAACCUGCCUCAUACAGGGGGAUAACAGUUAGAAAUGACUGCUAAUACCGCAUAAGCACACAGAACCGCAUGGUUCGGGGUGAAAAGCCGAGACGGUAUGAGAUGGACCCGCGUCUGAUUAGCUAGUUGGAGGGGUAACGGCCCACCAAGGCAACGAUCAGUAGCCGACCUGAGAGGGUGACCGGCCACAUUGGGACUGAGACACGGCCCAAACUCCUACGGGAGGCAGCAG